GGAUACGGUCAUACCAGCACUAAAUCCCCGGAUCCCAUCGGAACUUCGAACUCAAGCGUGCUUGGGCGAGAGUAGUACUAGGAUGGGUGACCUCCUGAGAAGUCCUCGUGUUGCAUUCU
rnacentral:rRNA from 1 species